GGUGGCGAGCGGCGGACGGGUGAGUAAUGCCUGGGAAAUUGCCCUGAUGUGGGGGAUAACCAUUGGAAACGAUGGCUAAUACCGCAUGAUAGCUUCGGCUCAAAGAGGGGGACCUUCGGGCCUCUCGCGUCAGGAUAUGCCCAGGUGGGAUUAGCUAGUUGGUGAGGUAAUGGCUCACCAAGGCGACGAUCCCUAGCUGGUCUGAGAGGAUGAUCAGCCACACUGGAACUGAGACACGGUCCAGACUCCUACGGGAGGCAGCAGUGGGGAAUAUUGCACAAUGGGCGCAAGCCUGAUGCAGCCAUGCCGCGUGUGUGAAGAAGGCCUUCGGGUUGUAAAGCACUUUCAGUCGUGAGGAAGGUGGUGUUGUUAAUAGCAGCAUCAUUUGACGUUAGCGACAGAAGAAGCACCGGCUAACUCCGUGCCAGCAGCCGCGGUAAUACGGAGGGUGCGAGCGUUAAUCGGAAUUACUGGGCGUAAAGCGCAUGCAGGUGGUUUGUUAAGUCAGAUGUGAAAGCCCGGGGCUCAACCUCGGAAUAGCAUUUGAAACUGGCAAGCUAGAGUACUGUAGAGGGGGGUAGAAUUUCAGGUGUAGCGGUGAAAUGCGUAGAGAUCUGAAGGAAUACCGGGUGGC
rnacentral:rRNA from 1 species